rnacentral:lncRNA from 1 species
AACUAACCAAUUAAAUAAAUAAUCAAUCAACUAAUUGAAUUGUAAAAAUAAGAAUAAUAAAAGAAAAUGGAACCAUGAUUUACAUAGUUAAUAAGGAGGAGGGGUGCAAACAUAAAAAGAAGAAUAUGGAAAUAAUAAAUAAAAAGACAAAGGGCCCAAGGCCCAAUACAAAAACUAAAUCCAAAUCUAUUGUUAAUCGCAAUAGUUAAAAAAGGAAUGAAAAGAAAAAAUAAAAUAGAAAAAAUAGAGAGGAGGGAGGCGACUUCCAUGUUGUAACAUCUCCAUUUGCUUUUUGAAAAAAAAAUAUGGCCUAUGGUGUAAUGACACGUGGAUCAUGUUUAAUAACUAAAAAUUAAGACAAAUUCAUUCUCCCUACGUUUGAAAAGUUGCAUAUAUAAGAAAAAUUUCUUCUAUCAAUCUCGUGCCCUCUCUCUUUCUUUCUCUUUGCACCCUCAAAACACAAACUAAAUACUUUCAAAAAAAUAAUGAAAUCAAAGCACACACCAAUCUUGGAUCUAGAAACUCAUGAAAAAACAAGGAAACUCAUGGCAAAAAUCUAACAAAACAAUGAAAAAAUAUGCAAAGGGGUACCGAAAAAAUGUGAGCGGUAUUAGACAGUGCGCAGUCCAGAGUUGUUUAUGAGAAGUUGAGGUUUGUUGUUGUUUGAGUUGAGAAUUUUGUUGAUGGUAAAGGUAGUGGCCAAAAAAGGGUGUACGUGGUGGCGGAACAGUUUGUGAAAAUGAAGAAAAAUAUGGGGUGUUGUUGUUGUUUUUUGUGAGAUGAGUGAAGAUCUUAUGGUGCUUACAAGGUUACUAUUAGAGAAAAAGAAAAUGAAAAGGAUGUGUUUGAGUGGAAGUUUAGAGUUGUUGUAUGAUUAUGGUUUAUGUGUAUUAUUAUGUUGUGGAAGUUGUAUUGAGCUUGUGGUUUUCAUGUUGGGUGUGAAAUAAAGGAGGAGAUUGAGGUGUGAGUUUAAGUUUGCAGAUCAUGUGGUAAGGUUUGUUGGAAGUUUCACGAUUAGUAUGGUGGUCACGGGUUGUUGUAUGGUGAAGUAUAUAGCCGUGAAAACUAUUGUUGGAGGUGGUUAUGGUGUUAUGUUAUUGUCAUGAAGAAGGAAUAAGAUGGAAAAUAAAAGCAUGAGGUUAGGGUCUUAAUGUGAAUGAUUAGAGGGAGUGUUUGAUAGUGAGUUAAAAAAGGAAGAUGGUUGUGUUUUUUGUAGGUUGUGAGUUUGAAGAAAAUGAUGUAUAUAGUUUGUGAGAUGGAGGUUAUUAUGGAGAUUAGUGGGAGCUUAUCACAACUUUGAUCAAGGUGAUAUGAGGUUGAUGAGAGGGACGAAGAGAGGAUAUGUCGAUAAGCAAUGAAGAAAUGAUUAGAAGUAAAGUGAAGAAAUUGUAGGUCAUGGUUUCUAGAAGAGAGAGAAGAGUUAGAGACGUAGUGAGGGAGAGAGAGAGAGCAGAGAAGGACGAUGCAGGAAGAGACGAUGCGAGAGGAGAGCAGAGAGAGAGAGAGAGAGAGAGGAAUUAGAGAUUUUUAGGAUGAGAAAGAAAAUCUUUUUUUAAGGUGGUGUGUGAGAGGAAGGAAAAAUAUCUGUUAUCGUGUUAGUAGAUCCACUCUCUUUUUGCUAGAUGUCACUUGGAGGGGUCUCUUUUGUGAAUACCAAAAUUGAUGGGUAUCUGAUAAAGAAGGACACGCAUUAGUUUGUUGGUGGAAUCCCCAUUCCAAACGUGUGUCCUUUCCCCUAAGGAAUGUAUCAAUAUUUUAUUUUUUCAUUUUCCACUCUCUCCAUUUGAGAGCGUCAAAAUGGAUCCCUCAUAUUGGUGGCCUUUUCCAACUCUUGUCAAUGGAAAAUAUAGUCCUCUCAUGUCUUAUUCUUUC